rnacentral:lncRNA from 1 species
GUAAAAUUGUGGUUCUGAUCACCAGGAGGACAAGGGAUGGGUGUUAGGUUGACACUUGCUCAGGUUCUCUAGAAGCAGAGCCAAAGAUGGAGAUUCUUGGGCCAGCCCUGACAGCUUGGGGGUUAAAGUUCAGCACGCUCUGCUUCAGUGGCCUGGGUUCAGUUCCCGGGUGUAGACCUACCACUUGUCUGUGAGUAGUUACUGGAGAAUCCGUGAAGAAGUGAAGGAAUCAGGAUGCGGCCAGCAACAUGUGAUUCCAUCAGAAGUCCAGCCUCCGCCUCAUUCUGAGGACCAUGUUCUCUGACACCCGUCCCAUCCAGAGGUGAGCCUGUGGCCCUUCCCUCGGAGCUGGGCGUGACUCCAACUGCUCUGACAAGACACUAUGGUGGAGUGAUGCUGCGCUGCUUUCCAGCUAAUUCUAAAGGAUAUCUCAACACCAAAAGUUAAACAGCAUCUAGACGUGUAAAUGAGGGAGGGAGCAUAACCAACUCGCAUUUAAGUUCGUCUUUUCUAUGAGGACCCAGGAUAUGAGAAGAGACAGAAGCCCAUUAAACACAAGAAAUCAGGAAUCAGAGCUCAGGAAACCAGCAGGAGACUCCCAGAGAUGAGAAAAUCCUGAAGGUCAGAGGGAGAGCACCCAGCAGAUAACAAGAGAACGGCCAACCUCAGACGCAGACACCAGCACUGGAUCCCCACAUCCUCAGUGUCAUUAAAGGAGGAAAAUAGCACAGUGGGGACACGAGUUUUCACACAAUCAGCCCUCCCCCUUUGCUUGUGGCUGUCCCUGCCCACGGUGUCCUGCGGUGCUGUGCCAUUUCAUCCCACAGUUAGCCUGACGAGCAGUCCUACACACGGGACCAAAUCAUGCCGUCAUCCAGGAGGAGAUGCACUGAGGGCCAACCUCUCCUUGACAAAACACUCGAGGAUGACCUGGAAAGUCCUCUGAGGUCCAGAACUCACACCUGUGAGAAUGGGCCUGAAGGAGCCAGCUCUGAGGGUCUCCGCUGCUGGUGUGCACUAGCAUCAGCUGUGGGGUUUCAAACCCCAAAAUCCCAGGCCUCCCAGCCUUGGGAUGCCGGACAUGUGGGCUCAAAGAACAGCUCAGGGGACUUGGCUGGACAGCAAAGACCAGGAAGGGCUGUCCCGC